rnacentral:ncRNA from 1 species
UGAAGGUAGAGGUGCGAGCUUCAAGAGUAGUGGUUCUGAGGAGGAUGAGCUUCGAAGAUGGAUCAUGAAAGGGGAUGUUCGCCGAAGUAAUAAAAGUCUCAUUUCUUUUAUUGCUGGUUCUGUAUUAAAUAAAUGCAGGAUUGUCAAGACGAUUGUCUUGGAGAGCUAUCUU